GGGGGUGUCUUGGUUUCGACUGGAUGAGCUCAGUGUUGACGGCAUGUCGAGGAUGAUCGUUGGCCUCGUAAAACUUCGAUCAAAACUAUAACUGCGAACGAAGAGUACGCACUCGCUGCCUGAGUUGUGGCGACGUCACCUCCCUGACGGGUGCUAGGGGAAGGUGGCGACGACAGCGCCCUAGUCCGACGGGUUCUUUUAUUGACGUUGGAUGAGAUUUUCAAUAAAAUAGUCGCAAAGCCGCCUGUCUGUCGGCAUGGCUGCGUGACGAUAAGCAGGGAAGACAGAACAAGCAUGUAGAAGUUGGCGCAAUGCCUUCACAGGACAGGGGUUCGAUCCCCCUCACCUCCACCA
rnacentral:tmRNA from 1 species